UCAAAGCACAGUGAAGUUAGAAUUUCCUUAAUGAAAAAAAUCUUUUCUUAUUUAUCACCCAGUUCAAGUCACCAAGUUUUCAUUGGAAUAUCCUGCUGGCCUAGAGUUACACAUGCAUGUCAGCUUAACCAUUCAACUUAUUUCUCAGAUUGCUCAGACAGCUUUGCUGUCAAGCCACAGCCCCUCAUCGCCACUCCAAAAGAGUAAAUUAAACAAAUAUCCUUUUCUUACUUGUAAAAUGAAGGUCAGCUACCAGCUGAAGAUGACAUGUUAGUCUUGUCAUCACUGCUAGCUGGAAGAAUAUCUAAUUUAGAGAGGGCUGGCUUGCAAAAAAAUGUAGGAAAGAAAGGAUUGCUUUCCAUCACAAAACACAAAUACCAAGUGGCUUUUGUAAGGCUGGAGGAUGACCACUGGGCAGUUUUAGGAAAAACAAAAAUCUGAAGAAAAUAACCAGCAACCAGCACUAGAUAGGACCCCAACAAUGAAAAUGUCUGCUGCUAAAUUAUGCUGCUUUUUUCUCUUCCACCCUCAUCUUUUUUCUCCUUUUCCAUGGUAUCAAAGCCAAGGCUAACAAGGAGAGUAAGCACUUGAAAGUCAGGCAUUCCGUAGUCAAACUUGCACUUUCAGCAUCCACCUCUCUGAAAGGUCUCCAGAUACCUGCUCAAGGCACCACUGCUCCACAAGGGAGGAUUAAAAGGGCAUCCAAAGAGACAUUAAUCUGUGGCACUAAAGAUAAACACUGGUAUUAUUGUUGGUCUAAAGAUAAUUCUGGCCUUCUUCCUGUCUCCAGCUUCUUGAUUUCUGUGUUGACUCUUUCACAAACUUUUUCACCCUCUUCCCUUCUGAGGAUUGCUCUAGCUAUUCACCUCAUCUUCCAUUUCACUGAUGAUCCUCUAGCAUAAGCAUCCAGAUUGUUUCUAUCCUGCACAAAAAUUCGUGAUUGGUCAAGCUCCAGCAGAAGGGGACUCAUAAGGGACUCCAAUUGUCAAGAGAUCAAGAGAGCUCAGCUCUUGCCAAACUUGCUCUAAAGAGGAUUUGUUUGGCCUCCCAUCACUACCCUUAGGCCUUGUUUCCCCAUUCACAAGGACCUUCACUGUGAAAUGGCCUUUUUCUCAUAGUCAGGGUUCACUGCUGCCUUACCCCACCAGAUAAGAAAAGAUCUGGCAGAGGUGGUGGAACAGCCAGGCCACAGCCAGGCAGGCUGGAGAUGGCCAGGAGAGACUAAACAUCCUCACCCAGCAGCUGCCAGGAGGAUAAGGCACACUUAUCCUCUUGCCUUGCUCUUGCCUUCCUCCAGCAUGCUUACCUACAGUAACAAGUGUACACUUUUCACAAGAUUCCCAGAGAGAAAGACAGAGGAUAAAGAAAAAGGUAGAGUCAGUAAUCCUUCCUUAGGCCUCCCUUUGCUCCCGAGAGAAGUAUUUCCAGAAUUCAUUUUCUGUUGUGGGGGAAGGAGGGCAAGGAAGCAGCUGUUUUAGGAAACAUUAGGCACAAAGAUGCAUUUGAAAUGUGACCAUGACCUACUCUGUGCUUCUCAUUUUGCAGGAAAAUGCUUUCAUCUGUUGCAGAUUCACAGCUUUUAGCUCCUUCCUGAAAGAAGGGGUCUGUGACCCGUCUUUGAAAUAGCUAAGCAGGAGCUAUUCUUUUCCUUUUAAAACACAGUUGAAAGGGGAUGUGAUGAAACAGCAUUGAAUAAAAUAUGAAUCCUUGGAGCAGAACUGAAGCUAUCCAUCUAUCACACAGUGCCCUACCCAUGAAGCCAUGUCCUACUCUAUUCUCUUACUGGCCUAGUGGAUCCUGAGUUCAUUGCUACAUAGCAAUCUAAAUUCAACAGGAUGGCUGAUGAGCACUCCCCAUGCAUAUACACCAUUGACCAUGGACACUCAAACUUGGCAAGAGAAUGGGGCAUGUGAGUCUCAACUCAGGAAAGAAAGGUGAACUUAAUUUUUUUUCCAAUUACAGACUAUGACGUAUAAAGAAAAUGGUAGGAUUCAACUAUAUUCCUUCUAAAGGAAUCUGACACAUCAUACUGCAUUUUGUCCAGUCUUUCCAGUUCACAAGGCAUUUCACUAGCUGGAAUCACUUUUGAGAUUUAAUUACAGGAUUAUCUAAUUAGUGGAUCUAGAAAGUGAAGCCCAUGAAACUCAAGAAUUCACUGUUACUUUAGCUUGGUAUCUAGACAAGGGUGAGUAAGUCUGAACUCUGGAUAGAGGGAAAAUAAAGCUAUUGAAGCAUAAUCAGUUACAGCGACUCUCCAAAAGCCAACAGCAGUCAAAGGACCAACAUCCAGAUCCUGACAUGUAGAAGGAAAAGCGUAAAUUCAUAGCGUAUUUAAGCUCAGAAAAAAAACCCAACCAACCAAAAAACCCUGCCCUGAAAUAAGGAAACUACAUAAUAAAAAUGUCACAAGUGGUACAAUUUUUUUAGGUUUCCUAUUAAAUAAGUGUGGUCCACCAAAGCAAGGAACUGAAGUGUGGGUUCACUAGUGAAUACAUUAGGCAAAUUCUUGGUUCAAAAUUCCUCUGGGAAUAACACUCAUUAGGUGCUGUCCCCUACUGUAGAUAGUUAAGAAGUAUCUUAAUAGAGGAAAAAGCUAUUGAAUAUUUCACCUUAAUAAUACCUACCUGGUGUCUCAAGGUCUACUGAAACAGACAAGAGAAUUUUCCAUAAUAAAUUUAUCUCUCUGAAAAGGAAGAACUACUACAGAUUUUUGGCUGAAUUUUUUUCUCACUUGUCUUUUUUGCCAUUUCAUUCCAUACACUCUGGAAGCAUUUGCUGCCACAGAGGAAAAAUAUAUUAUUUACCAAACCAAAGGUUCAUGUAAUUUUAUGUCCUGUUCUGGGUCAUGGUCAAUAUGAGUUGACUGAACACAGAACAGGAUAGACAGAAGAGGUACAAGGAAGUCUGACUAAAAUUUUGGAAAAGCAGGAUUAAUAAGAAAAUACUAGCUUAAGCUCAGGAUUAAUACCUCCUGAAAUAUAAUGAUUUAUAAUAAUUUAAAUAUUCUAUCCCAUUAAUAUUUGUCAGGUAUUCCAAUUUUAGUUCUGGUAAUUGGAUAAUAGUGAACUAUUUCAACUCAUACAUUCCUAAACAAUAUUUCACUCCUGUACUGCUUUAUACUAGUUCACUAAUAUGAGUUAAACCAAUUGAGAAACAGUCUGCUCUCCAUCUGCCACCAACAAAUGUGAUCUAAUGCAUUAAUUAGAUCCCCAGCUUUGACAAGUUUUUUUAAAUAGUGCUAGAGAACUAUCAGCACAAUUUUCUCCAGUUAACUUUAUUUUGGCUCACAGUCUGGUAUAAUAUUCCAAACCACCGUAACUACUGUCUGCAUUUGAAGAGCAAGACGUUCAUUAGUUUUCUGUUUUACAGCUGUCUGUCUACUCUGGUUUAACUUUUUAAAGUCAGAAGCAAACCCCUCAUACUGCCUCCAUUCUUCUUGAUUGCUCUGCUCAGAUAAAUUUCCCCAUGACCACCACUCCCUUAUGUUUCCUAAACCAGAAAUGAAGCACAGAUUUGCAACGUAAGCAAAUUAUACUGGGUCUUUAUACUGGUUUGCCCAACAAAGGCAGAUACACAAACGGUUUCUGUAUCCUGUUCAACAUUAGUUAGUGUGUGGGAGAACUGAUUUCUUUCCACACUGAAUUCCAUUCUUCUGGAAUUGUGAAUAAUCAAUGGCCUUGAUUAGGUAUUACGUCAAAUAGGUUUUGAUGAGAUACAGUGGUGGAUGGAUAUUUUACUAGUUCUGCAUCUGAGCUCUUCAGCAGAGGCAGCUCAUCAGUUUAACUUGCACUUUUCAGCAGAAGGAGCAGGAUGAAAUGCCAUGAGGCUGUACUGCAUUGUAUGUGAGUUUCCUGACCUAAUUCACUUUCAUUUUUUCUUCUCCCCUCUCUGUCCAGCAAACUGAAUAUCAGAGCUGCAUAACUCUGUUGAAAACUAUAAAUGCCUCUUCUAUGAAGCACCAUGAAAAACCAUUGCAUCACAAGCUUUACAAAGAGAUGCUAAAACCCAUCUUUCAUUAAAAGGGCAUUAGGUGCUAAAUGAAUCUACAAAGGCAUACUCAGAGACACAUAUAUUGCAUGUAUGGAGAAUGAGAUUAUAUACAGUUUGUGUCUGGCAAUCUGCUACUUAAAUGGAACAUUAAUGUAAUGGAAAGUAUCUGCUUUUAUCAGCAAGGCUGCCGUUAUAAACUGUACAAAUUUAAUCUCUCAGUUCACAGGAAUCGCCUCAGCGCGGCCCUCCCCGGCCCGGAGCGCGGGCUGACAGCGCCGUCUGGCGGCCCGGCCUGCCCGCGCUUCGCCCCCUCAGAGCGCCCUGAGCACCGAGCUGUGCUUAUUUUGUGCUGGUUUCGGCCGGGGUACACUAAAUCUCCUCCCUAGCGGCUGCAGAGGGCUGUGGUUUGGAUUCAGCGUGAGGGUAAUGCUAAUCACACACUGACGCUUAACGUAAAUCAAUCUUUUCACAAGCAGCCGGGAGGGAGCACGGCCAGGACAGCUGAGCCGGACCGGCCACUUCACAUCAUUCCCACUAUAUAAACCGUGAGUUACCUGGGAUGGGGCUGGCUGUGCUUUGGGGUUGGGUUUGGCAUCCAUCAGCAGGUGGUCUGGAGGGAGAAAACUCAUCUCAUUCCAACACCCUGACAGAGACAGGGACAUCUUCCAGCAGACCAGGUUGCUCCAAGCCUCAUUCAACCUUACUUGAGCACUUCCAGGGAUAGAGCAUCCACAGCUCCUCUGGACAACUUGUGCCAGGAUUUCAUGGCCCUUACGGUAAAAAAAUGCACCAAUUCUAGUCUGCUCUGGUGCCCAACCAAACCCUAAAAUGAACGUCUCAUAAGCGGAAGUUUUUAGCAUUUGUAAUCUCAUCCACAAAUUUAUAUUGAAAACACAUUUUAGCAGUCACACAUAAAGUUGUCAGUUUGUGUCCACUGUAGAUAGAAUUUUUUUAACAAAUUAACAAAUAAAAGCACAAUUAUAGAAUAUAACUAUGUAUUUGGAACUUCAGAAAUAGUCCCUUCAUUAGUUUAUAUAGGAUGAUCUCAAGCACCUAAGAAAUAAUACAGUUAAACAAGUAUUUAAGUUACUGGAAGUUACUUUCAUUUUGGCAGGACUGCUUUCCCUUUUUAUAAAAAGAGCAGAACAAAUUUCUCAAAAUGUUUAAUGUCAGUACUUGCAGUUCUUCUUUCACAACAGCGGGAGAAAAAAAUAUUUUCUGAUACCCAAAAAUGACAUCUGUGAAAAAAAAAAUACAAAACUGUAUUGACAAGAACUAAAAGAACAUCUAGAAUAAUUUAUUCACAGUAAUGGCGUUAAUAGACUAAAUUUGCAUUGUAAAAUCUUUUUUUACCCAGUUUAUAUAAUAAAGAAAAUUACAUUAUUGAUACUGGUGUUAAAUCAGCUUUGCUUAGUAAAUCAGACUCAUGCUACACUCAGCAGAUGGACACAUUUCUGCUGCAUGGAGGGACUCUAUCAGUCAGCCAUCUGAGAACAUCUUACCAGCACAUUCAUCCUUGCCACCUGAUUUUAAUGUAAGAGCAUCACUAUCACUUAGAUUGAAAAGGUUGAGAAAGCAGUCAGGUCGCAGAACACUCUUUCAUUAUACAGCCUAUCUCAGUCCUUGCCACAGAUUUGAAACUGGUGCUGCAGGCAGAGAGCAACAGAGUGAAUUCAACUAGCAGUCAUCUUCCCAGAACAGCAUUGGAAUAUGACUUGAGGAGGCACAUAGUAGCAUCAGCCAAAUUAACAUUUUCAACAUUAUUGACACUACAAGAUAUAUUACCCCCUGUACAAUUUAAAGAGAUCCCCCUGGGGAAAUUUUUAAGGGGUGAUUACUUUAUUGGUUGCUAUUGAGUAGAACCAGCUUGUGGGGAAUGUCUGAAUAACAAAAGCCCUGAUAGAAAGAGACCAAGAGACCCCUGGUGACUGAUCCAGAUGGCAUUGAUUUGAUUUUAGCAUGAUACAUUUAGUUUCCAUUGUGAAAAGAAUACAGCAGAAUAAUUUACAGAAUGAUAAGACUGAAUCUUUUUUUUUUUUUCCCUGAGAAAAACAGAGGGAGGCUAGGACAAUGGAGACAGGAAAGACCAUAAGUUUAAUAAACUGACCGAGACACUAGAGCAUUUAUAGAGCUCUGUACAGAUAUCAGCUUCCUUUUAUAUGCUGAUAAACAGAAAUUUUAGAAAAGCAUAAGUGCAUCAAGUUUUACAGGAUUACAUCAUCAGCAGCAUUUGUUAAUUGCCAUAACCCCUAAGUUUCUCAUUUAGAUGCAGUCAAUAUUCAAAAGUUGUAUUGCUGCUGACAAAAUGGCUUUCCCUUUCUGUGGGAAUCCUUAAAAUCAGAGGGUUUUGGGGAGGAAGGUUCCCUGUGAAGGAAGCAUAUAAAAUCUGAAUUGUUGGAUCCUAGAUUUCACCUGUGGCUUAAUGUGAAUUGAUCAUUAAUCUCACACCUGUGCUGCAUAGUGGGUUUUGGCAAAAAUUGAUGCCAGGUAAAUAUUAAAAUUAUACAAACCAAAGGAAGACUGAAAUCUCUUUCUCCAAGCACACAAAAAUUCUUCAGCAGGAAUAGCAUUUGUCUGACUGUUUUUUGACUCGCCCACACUAUGCUGUGUACAGCUACUGCAAUUAUACUUAUCCCUCUCUGUAUUACAUAUGCUAAUGUAAUUUUUGGUAGUGUGUUGUGGUCAUCCAUAAUUUACUCCUGCCAUUCUAACAGAAGCCUUUAUGCCUGUGGGGCUGAAAAACACAGUUGGUUUUCUAAUACACCAGAUGAAUGCCCAAACCAGUGGAUUAGUCACUUUCCUUAAUCUUGACUCUAACAAGUCUGUAGAACAAAACAUGUUUAACUGCAAGAGAUUCCAUGGAGUAGGAGAUAUUCUCAAGCAACAGCUCUAACUCAUCAUUUCUGCUGAUCUGCAUUUCUCUGUUGCCAGGUUAGUAUCUUCAUCAUUGCAUUACAUAAUUAACCUCGUGCCAAUUCUCUCUUGUUUUGGUCAGAAUAUAAGCAGUCAUUUUUAUAGAACAAAAAGGUAUCAAGAAUAGCAAACUUCUCACUAAAAGAAUCAACUUCAAAAGAUUAACAUUCGCUCUUGAAAAUAAAGUUGGGCUCUCAGUUUGAAGGAUAUGUCUGUUAUUUCAGGUCUGAAUCCAAAAAAAGUCAGUGACUGUGAUGUCUAAAUGGUGGAUAAAACACACCAAAAAAUACUGCUGGGUGUCCCCCAAAUGAGAGCUUUGUGCCUCUUUCUAUCUGGUCUGUGUCCAGGAGGAGCAAUUCAAGGGAGCUCCAUGAGGUACUGCUGUGCAACUCCAUCCCUUCCACACUGCUGUGUGCUGGGAGAGCCAGAAACAAGGCACCAGUACUUCUUGGGAAGCAUUUAACAAUGGAGGAAAGGAAGAACACACUUCUUCACGUUAAAUCAAAUCAAAAUACCAUGUCCCAGACCCUAUCCACAGAUGACUGCACCUAGCAAAUUGGAUGAUCAUUUUAUGGUGUGCUACAGCCACGGGGAUCAUAUGGCAAGAAGUAUCUGGCAGCCAAGGAACAGCACCAAAGAUGAGCAUCACUGAAAGAAUGAUUGAUUGCAAGCAAAGAAGAAAGAAAUUACAUAGGAUAGCAUCUUCUUCUGGGGACAGUAUUGUUCUUUGUGCUUUUUAAACCCAAGACAAAACCUCUGGAAAUGUCAGAAGCUAAUUUAAAAGCAAUGGAAAUUAUUUCUAACUUGUCAUAUCAAACCCUUACAGAAAAGCAUCUGUAUUCAUUGUGUAAUGCCUGUAAGAAAAAAAAAAGUCUCAAACUUUUGGAUUAAACCCCUGUUCUGUGGUCUGUCUUUCCUGUCCCUUUUCCUUGUUCCAACUACACUUUCAACAUCUAAAUGUGUAUUUUAGACAUACAUGUCUAACAAGCCCUAGCUAUUGAGUGUGCCCAUCACAUAAAAGAAUCACUACCUUGCCAACUCUGGUAUUUAAGUCUCAUUCAGGCUAUGUACUGGAAGAUAUUUUUAUUUAAGCCUCUUGCCAUCAGAAGAAAAGCCUUACUUCUUGUCCUGUCAACAACACAGCAGGACAGCUGGAAGGUAGUCUAGAAGCAAAGCUGCUAAAGACCAAGGCUGACAAGACCACAUCAAAGCAGUGCCUUUUGAAUUCACAAGAGUGAAAAAUUACAAGGGAAUUAACAGGAGAGAACAGGUUAGGCUUUUAUAACUGGAUGACAUUAAAUUGUACAUGAGAUAGUUCAGGUUUUAGGAUAAGAAAGUACAAAUGAAGGUAGGAAAGAAGAACUAAGUUAAGGUCAGGUUACUCUGACAGGAGUUAAAUACAUCACUAUUAGGGACUGUAACAUUAAGGCAGUUGUGAUCCCUUUCCUGUUCAUGGUUUCUGCUGGUUAUUUUGCAUUUUGAAACAGCCAGGGUCCUAGCCAAGUCAUUUGUUUGGAUUUGGCUCAGAUAUGUCUACACCCUGCUGAACCACUUCAUUCUCUGGCAAAAUGAUAGCACCUUGAAAUGCAUCACUGGAAACAAUUUGUUGCACAAAGCCAAGCUCACUUGGCCAAGUUCAAAACAUGAAAUAAAAUUGAGGACAGUCUCUGCACAUUUUUCAUACAACUCACCCCAGACCCUAUUUCAUGACAGUCCUUGCCUGCUAGAUAAGCAACUGCUGAGGAGUAUACUGUAGAAACACAGAGUAAUAUUCCUGUUGUUAAUAAUUUUAUCAUUGAGACUUGAAUUGAUAGAAUAUCACUGGACUGUUUCAAUCAAAUUAAUUACGAGUAUUGACAAGGGGAACUGUCAUGGAAGAGUAGUUGAAGACAAUGCUUAUUCUAUCACUGUCUGGGCCUGGUUUUUUAUCUGUUUUAAAACCAGCCAGUGUUAGGAAUCCACACAGGUAAAAUUUCAAAUCCAGCUGCUCGCACAGCAUGCAGUCAUGGUCACUGCACUUGAUUCAACACAUUAACACAGUGAGGAAUAUAACUGUGUGCCAAGAGUUUCUUGUGAGAGAACAGCAAUAGAAAGAAUUACUAAAUCCCAAGCUCUACAAACAAUGAAAGACACUAACAAGAAAAAAAAAAAAUAGUGGAAGAAUACAGGAGCUGUGAAAUGGGUUUCUCAAAAUGUAUAAAAAGUGCCCAUGAAGCAGCAUGGGAGACUGACCAUGCUUCAGGAAUUAAACUGCAUUAAAGUUGCUGCUCUUUGGAUGAGGAAGCUCUCUUGUAUUAUUCAGUAAGAUGUACCACAGUAAGACAAUAGUAAUAAUCAAUUCUCCACUACCUGAUAAGACUGCUAAAAGGAUCUGUGUUAAGAAAGAUUGAUUAAAGCACAUGCUGCAACUGCUGUUAACCCUGAAAACAUAUGCAGUUGCACUGUAUUAGAGACUAUGAGCCCCAAAUUUAGCAGCAAAGCAGGAUCUUAAAAGUAAGUUCAGAACAAAGAUUAUCAGAUGUCUACAAAAGGCAUUGUAGCAGAAUGAGGAAAAAAAUAUUUUAAACAUAAGUUCUGGGGCAUGCAGAUAGAAAAACAAUGAUGGAUUCACACAUCAUUAGCAUUUAUUAAGGGCUGUACUAUGGAGAUACUAAAACACAGUUGGAAAUAUUAUUUUAAAAUAACAUUGAUGGUCAUAAUACAAGGUAAAAGAGAAAUGCUCUGCCUGUUUCAGCUUUCAUUUGAGCACGACAGGAAAUGGGUUGGGAGGAUAUCAAUUUUACAAAUAGAAACAGAGGAAUGAAACUUAAGAAUGUCAUUACUUUUUGAAAGUACAAAGGAAAUGAAGAAAAAAAGGCAAAAUUAGGCAGGCCACAGCAAAGUUAGCUGAUGAUGAUGGUGCCUCACUGGCUAAUGAUUGAUAACAGCAGCAAUUACUGACAGUUCUAAAAAAUGUCAUUCCAUUUUAGUUCUCAAUGUAUCAGACUUGGGAAAAUUAAAUCACAUCAGAAGCCACAGACUUAUUACUGAAAGGUCAACUUUUAUGAAACUUUUCCUUAAAAGUUUUAGUGAAGAGAUUAAACAAACCUACUCCAUUAACUUCAGUCAGACAAGUUUUAGGGGAACAUCAGACAAAAAUGGGCUAAGAACUAUUGUACUUAGAGACUCUAAGAGACAUAAGGCUUUGCCUCAAUUUCCAAAGAUCACUUGUAACUCAAAAUGUAAAUGUCCUUGUAUAUUCAUAUAAUUCAAGACUCGUAUCAAAACACACAGAUGUGCUUUAAACUGAAAAAUGACGUAGCAUCAUUUGCUUUAAUUCAUGUAGGAAUGGUUCAGGAAAGCCAGUGCUACCCCUCCUAUGUAAUGUCACACUGACUCCUCUAAUGCACUCUUUGGAACAGAUGGGGCAGGGGAUGAGCGAAUUGAGAGCCAGAAUCAGCCCACCAUACCAGCAAAUAUUGAUACUGUGGCUUCUUCAGCAACCCACAGAAGAGCAUGCAGGAAAAUAUGAUCACUGACUCCUUGUGCAACUGACUGGUUUUAAAAACCCAGCCAAAAAGUGCUGUCUGUUUUAUACUAGCUCAUUUCUUGAUCCAUGCAGUUUAAAAGUGUGAAGCCCAGACUAUGUAUCUGAGUAGCUGUAUAUGAUUGUGCUGGAGAACAGGGAGAAAACUGAGGUUUGAUCCAAAAAAAAACCAAUGAAGACUAGACUUAAAGGCCUAGCUUGGUCAAACAACAAACAGGAGUUCUCGAAAAAUAGAGCUACUAACAUACUUGCUGUACCACAGUUUGUUUGCUAGAUUAUACAAACAUAAUUUUCUCUCCUUUACAAUACAUUGGGCUAUCAACAAGUACCUGUCUGUUCAUCUUUUAUGUUCAAAUAUGAGGAUAAGCCCAGUAAUCUCAAGCAUUUGGCAGGUGCACCAAUACCAGUUAUUUUAGCAGACUGACUUACCUGAAGAUAUAACUCAAAGGAAACCAUCCAAAAGUAUAGGAUAAGUGAUUAAUUCAGCAAUCAGGAAAAAUCUUCAACAAUUAACACAGUAAGACUUGAGGAUUUCAGAAUUUUGGAAAUUAUCAAAUUUGCCUCUUUUCACCUUUGAACUGGUGUGAAACAGUAGAAACAGUAGAAACAGUAGAACUUUUAAAAUGAGAGAAACAAAAAAUGACAAAUGAGACUCUUCCUCAUAUAUUACACAAUUGAAUGAAUAUCCAAGAGAGAAUAGUUAGAAGGCCCAACUAGUUUGGCUUCUGCUAAACAAUACAACUUAAAAUUCAUGAAAAGAACUGUAUUAUGGACAGUAGCAAUGAUCUCAAGAAAAGAGAUUUGACUCUUAUUAGAGAUACAUAGCUCCUGUAAUGUAUUCAGCCAACUGACAGGAAAUGAGAAUUAAGAUUCUGAGAGGCAGCCACUGAAAAAAAUGUUCAAAUAGCAAAUUUGACCUACAGAUACUACAGAAUUAUGUGCUGGCCUCUUUGUGUUACACUUUGGCUUUCCUACCUGAAGUCAGAGGUAAACAGCAAAAAAAGAAAUUUUAUUGAUGGCACUGGUAGGCCUCUUUGAAAGGAGAUGAAUCACCUUGCAUUUUGAGCACUUUUAGGUAUUCCCCUGAAAUUUUAAAUUAACAUUUAAAUUUAAUAUUGCAUUUGUUUAUUUAUUGGCUCUAUUCUUUUUCACUCCAUUCCUCACAGACUCUGCUUUUUUCUGCUUAGAAUCUGUACAUAAAUUAUUAGGUUAUAUUGAUUUCAUCCUACUAUUCAUACUUCUGAUCUUAAAGUACUGAUUUUUAGAUAAUUUUUUUUUUAAUUUGCCACGUUACUUUUUGCUCCAUGCUUCCAAUUCUGUUUGAUGUGGCUGAAGAUGCGUGUGUGUUUAAUGACUCCUGCUGCUCCUGGAAGCUUAUCAUGUUUGCAGAGCUCACUCAACUGAUCUGUAUGCCCAGGCUGAGCUCUGCACAGGAUGGACAGGCCAGCUGGAGCAGCCCUGACAACUCUGCCUGAGUGCUGCAUGACUCAAACAGGAUCUGGGAGAGAUUUCAGCUCUGCCUAGGGACUGGGGAAAGGCUGCAAACCAUACAGGCACUGUACUUCACGCAGCUGCAUGGAGAAAUUGCAGAAACAAGAAGGAAACUGAAGGGCUGCAGCAUCAAGAGCUUGCAUUCCUGUUUUAUUAGAAUGAGAAACGAGACUUGUAUUGAGUAGCACUGGAUCAAGGCUGACAUCAUCCAUCAUCAUAUUUAAUUUACCUCCUAUGCUGCCUUCCAGCACAUAUCAGCAUUUUGACAUCCACUGGGAUACAGGCCAGCACAGGCCAGGCAACAGCUCUUUAAAGCAUGCAGCUGUUUUAGGAGAUGAUAUCAGCCAGUGCACACCCCCACAAUGCUGGGAAAACCUUGGGUAAGGUAGGUUAUUGCAGAAACACCUUAGUCACCUUCCUUUUUCUCUAUAACCACCCAACAGGCUUCCCCAAGACAGGCAGCCCUACACACCUUCAUCUUGCUUGCUCUUAGAAAUGAUAUUUUUCUCCUUGUCUCUAAUCUCCACAGAAAAUUGCACUUUUUUUCCUGACCCAUCUAUCUUCACUAAUUUCUGAUUAGAACUGCUACCUGUAAACCUAUGACUAGACCACUCCAUAAGAUAGAGGCCUUUGCAGCUUCAUGUCUCUGCUUUUGCAUGGGACAAGGAGAAGAGGACUGAUGGCAAAAAUUGUCAAAUUUGGAACCUGCAUGAGUUUUUAAAGGAUGAAAACCUUCAACCAAGGCAUUGGAGCUAAACUGCAGAGUCUACUAAAGAAAAUUAGCUGAAAAGAGGUAUGUAGCUUGAUAAUUUGAUAUCCAGGAAGCCAACAUGGAAAGGAUGCUUCCUUCUUUUAUGUUGUUUAUAGGAAUGCUAUAUAUGUGCACUGCAAUGGAUGGAAGCUUUGAAAACCAAAUAUAGGUCUAUCAAAUGUACAGAAUUUAACAGUCAUUUAUAACAGCAAAUGUGAAAUAUGUUCUUAAAGCCCAUAUUAUAACUACUGCUAUAACUGUUGUCUCAUGAAGAAUGUUAAAAGCAGCAGAGAAGAACAGGAUCACUCAAUACUGUCCUUAUGAAUAGCCAAUCACUUGUGCAAUUAUUUCUAUUAUUAUCACCAAACUGCCAGCUACAUAAGUCAUGCUUGAAUAUUGCAGAAAGUAACUUAUUAAUAUACAUACUGAGGGUUUUAUAUUUUUCUAGCAAUUUUUACCAAAAAGCUGAUCUCUUUAUAUCAUGUAAUAAAUACACUUUGUAAUAAAAUAUGUCAUCAAGGAUAGUUUAAAAUAGGCAUUUAUGAGAGAUGUACAAGUCAUUAAAAGCUGCAUACAAGAAA